ACGGGAGGCAGCAGUAAGGAAUAUUGGUCAAUGGAGGCAACUCUGAACCAGCCAUGCCGCGUGCAGGAAGACGGCCCUACGGGUUGUAAACUGCUUUUGUACCGGAAUAAACCUUUUCACGUGUGAGAAGCUGAAUGUACGGUAAGAAUAAGGAUCGGCUAACUCCGUGCCAGCAGCCGCGGUAAUACGGAGGAUCCAAGCGUUAUCCGGAUUUAUUGGGUUUAAAGGGUGCGUAGGCGGCUUAUUAAGUCAGGGGUGAAAGGCGGUAGCUUAACUAUCGGAGUGCCUUUGAUACUGAUGAGCUUGAAUGCAGCUGAGGUAGGCGGAAUGUGACAAGUAGCGGUGAAAUGCAUAGAUAUGUCACAGAACACCGAUUGCGAAGGCAGCUUACUAAAGUGCGAUUGACGCUGAGGCACGAAAGCGUGGGGAUCAAACAGGAUUAGAUACCCUGGUAGUCCACGCCCUAAACGAUGAAUACUCGAUGUUGGCGAUAUACGGUCAGCGUCUAAGCGAAAGCGUUAAGUAUUCCACCUGGGGAGUACGCCCGCAAGGGUGAAACUCAAAGGAAUUGACGGGGGCCCGCACAAGCGGAGGAGCAUGUGGUUUAAUUCGAUGAUACGCGAGGAACCUUACCCGGGCUUGAAAGUUAGUGAAUGAUACAGAGACGUAUCAGUCCUUCGGGACACGAAACUAGGUGCUGCAUGGCUGUCGUCAGCUCGUGCCGUGAGGUGUUGGGUUAAGUCCCGCAACGAGCGCAACCCCUGUGUUUAGUUGCCAGCACGUAAUGGUGGGGACUCUAAACAGACUGCCUAUGCAAAUAGAGAGGAAGGAGGGGACGACGUCAAGUCAUCAUGGCCCUUACGUCCGGGGCUACACACGUGCUACAAUGGACAGUACAGAGGGCCGCUACCUGGCAACAGGAUGCCAAUCUCAAAAAGCUGUUCACAGUUCGGAUCGGGGUCUGCAACUCGACCCCGUGAAGUUGGAUUCGCUAGUAAUCGCGUAUCAGCAAUGACGCGGUGAAUACGUUCCCGGGCCUUGUACACACCGCCCGUCAAGCCAUGGAAGCUGGAAGUGCCUGAAGUGCGUAACCGCAAGG
rnacentral:rRNA from 1 species